UACGUAGGGGGCAAGCGUUGUCCGGAUUUAUUGGGCGUAAAGAGCGUGUAGGCGGCCAGGUAGGUGGGUUGUGAAAACUGGAGGCUCAACCUUCAGACGUCGACCCAAACCCCCUGGCUAGAGUCCGGAAGAGGAGACUGGAAUUCCUGGUGUAGCGGGUGAAAUGCGCAGAUAUCAGGAGGAACACCGGUGGCGAAGGCGGGUCUCGUGGGCCGAUACUGACGCUGGAGGAGCGAAAGCGUGGGGAGCGAACAGG
rnacentral:rRNA from 1 species